rnacentral:rRNA from 1 species
UACGGGGGGGGCAAGCGUUGUUCGGAAUUACUGGGCGUAAAGCGCGCGUAGGCGGCUUUUCAAGUCAGGCGUGAAAGCCCCAGGCUUAACCUGGGAACUGCGUUUGAUACUGUUAAGCUAGAGUGUGGAGUGGGCUACUGGAAUUCCGGGUGUAGCGGUGAAAUGCGUAGAUAUACGGAGGAACACCAGCGGCGAAGGCGGGUAGCUGGGCCAACACUGACGCUGAUGCGCGAAAGCUAGGGUAGCAAACGGG